rnacentral:rRNA from 1 species
CCUACGGGUGGCUGCAGUGAGGAAUAUUGGUCAAUGGACGCGAGUCUGAACCAGCCAUGCCGCGUGCGGGAAGACGGCUCUAUGAGUUGUAAACUGCUUUUGUACGAGGAUAAACGCAGGUACGCGUAUCUGUCUGCGAGUAUCGUACGAAUAAGGAUCGGCUAACUCCGUGCCAGCAGCCGCGGUAAUACGGAGGAUUCAAGCGUUAUCCGGAUUUAUUGGGUUUAAAGGGUGCGUAGGCGGUCUGAUAAGUUAGAGGUGAAAUCCCGAGGCUCAACUUCGGACUUGCCUCUGAUACUGUCAGGAUAGAGAGUAGUGGCGGUAGGCGGAAUGUAUGGUGUAGCGGUGAAAUGCUUAGAGAUCAUACAGAACACCGAUUGCGAAGGCAGCGUACCAAGUCACGUCUGACGUUGAGGCACGAAAGCGUGGGGAGCAAACAGGAUUAGAUACCCCAGUAGUC